rnacentral:tRNA from 1 species
GAGGAUAUAGCUCAAGUGGCAGAAGGCAAGCUUAGCAUGCAUGAGGUCCUGGGUUCAAUCCCCAGUAUCCCCA